rnacentral:tRNA from 1 species
GGUUGUGGCUCAGUGGUAGACUGCUUGCCUCAUACGUGUGAGGCACUUGGUUCAAUCCUCAGCACCA